rnacentral:rRNA from 1 species
UACGUAGGUGGCAAGCGUUGUCCGGAAUUAUUGGGCGUAAAGCGCGCGCAGGCGGCUUCUUAAGUCUGAUGUGAAAGCCUACGGCUCAACCGUGGAGGGUCAUUGGAAACUGGGGAGCUUGAGUACAGAAGAGGAGAGUGGAAUUCCAUGUGUAGCGGUGAAAUUCGUAGAUAUUGGGAAGAACACCGGUGGCGAAGGCGGCUCACUGGCCCGUAACUUACGCUCAAGCGCGAUAGCGUAGGGAUCAAACAGG